CGUCGUUUUGGCCUUGCUGGUGAUUUUUCCAAGAAAGGAGUCAGAGGACGGGAUCCUAGUCUGCACUCUACGCUCGGGUGUGUCUGGUCAUUCUGCGGCCAAGAGCACACGAGAGCUGCGGGCAGACUCCCGCCCCGACACCCGUGGUGCCGAAAGCAGGGUUCUGACGCCAGGAGGAAGAGGAGUGCAGGAGCCAGCAGUGGCCGGCGGGUGCCAGCACAUGGUGGCGAAGGCCAGACUGGCCACCACUGACCCACACAGAGCCACACAGCAGAGCCAGCUGGGGACAGAGGCCACCGUGUGCACCCAAGGUCCCUUGCCCAGCCACUGCACAGUCACCAGCCCCCACCCAUGCUACGGAGGAGGCACAGGGGUGGAUGGCGGCAGCCUGCAGGGACCCGGGCAGGCUGGGAGCAGCUGCAGCCCCCGAGUGGUAACCCGAGGUCUCUGUCCUACCCAGACCCGGCACCUGUACCGCAGCACCAGGCCACACCGACCCAAGGCCACCUAGGACUGACCUGCCGAGCAGAGGUGCCAGAGCAUCGGCAGUGAGUACCUGGGCCUGUUCAAGCCCCCGCAGGGACAUAGGACACGAGGGCCUGCGGCCAUGUGCCCACCACCUCACUGGGUGUAUCUUACACUGGGACUUCUUUCUGAUCAUGUCCUUGAGCUCUGUCCCUAGCGGGGAUUACUGUGUCACCGUGUUAGAAGUGACAUCUCUCAGGCGCUCAGGACAGCAGAGCUCACGGGCUGCAGUUUGAGCAGGGUGGGCCUCAGACACUGUCACCCUCGUGGCAGAAGAGGAACUGUAAGCCGGAGACAGGUAUGUCCAGGCCCCUGCGUGCUGCCCAGGUGUGUGGGCCCUGGGGGACAGGCCAUGGCUCAUGGGUACACUUUAGGCAAGGCCAUCUUGGCUAUUGGGGGGUGGGCUCUGCCCCGGCUGCGAAGGGGCCAAUGUCUGGGCCACGCCCUGGCCGGAGGAGGUUUCCCGAGAGCCCAGGUUUUUCCUCUAUUCCCUUUGCCCCGCCUCUCUGCCAACCUGGCCAGCACUCUGUGACAUGCUCACACCCCCAGGACAUGUGGCUGGCUGUCACCUGUUUGUCCAACUGAGGUCAGCCUACACCCACCCUCCCAGACUGGUCCUGCUGCUGACUCCUCCUGACAGCCGGGCCAGGACACCAGACAGCCAGGACCCUUCACUCAUGACAUUGUGCCUUGGAGCUGAGGCCAGUGAGCAUCUAUCAGCGAGCAGGACGUCUGUGAAAGUAGUGACCUUCGUUGCUCUGAGAUGCUGGAAGACCUGCACUUCCAGCCUCCCCCACCCUAGCCCCCCAGGAGGCCCCAGAGCUCCUGAAGAGAGAGACCAUCAUGCCCAAAGCCCACGGCUGCUCUCCCGCCAUCACUCUCUGGCAAGUGGCUGCUCGGGAGGCAGCGUGGGCUCUGGCCGCUGGGGCCUGUGAUCCUCGCGUCUCUUCAUACCCUCCCCGGCUGGCGACAUGAGGGGAGCCAGCGUUCAGUGCUGCCAAGGCCGGGGCUUCUCGGGCCACGUGCAGAGCUGCUCCUGGUGGAUCUCAACUCUUAAAAGCUAAACUUGACUGGUUGCAAACCUGUAUCAAGAUAAACUUUCGUCUUUGUUCCUAUUUCUUUUUAAAGAAGUGGAGACAUAGAAGAAAAUAUAUUCUAGGAUGGAUUUUUUUUUUU